UACGGGGGGGGCAAGCGUUGUUCGGAAUUACUGGGCGUAAAGGGCUCGUAGGUGGCCAACUAAGUCAGACGUGAAAUCCCUCAGCUUAACUGGGGAACUGCGUCUGAUACUGGAUGGCUUGAGUUUGGGAGAGGGAUGCGGAAUUCCAGGUGUAGCGGUGAAAUGCGUAGAUAUCUGGAGGAACACCGGUGGCGAAGGCGGCAUCCUGGACCGACAUUGACGCUGAUGAGCGAAAGCUAGGGGAGCAAACGGG
rnacentral:rRNA from 1 species